AGAGUUUGAUCCUGGCUCAGGAUGAACGCUGGCGGCGUGCCUAAUACAUGCAAGUCGAACGAGGCCCUCUUCCUUCGGGAGGAGGUGUCCUAGUGGCGAACGGGUGAGUAACACGUUGGUGACCUACCCCGAAGAGGGGGACAACCCCGGGAAACUGGGGCUAAUACCCUAUGUGAUCCUAAGGAUUAGAUGCCUAAGGAUGAAAUGGAGCAAUUCGCUUCGGGAGGGGCCUGCGGCCUAUCAGCUAGUUGGUGAGGUAAUGGCUCACCAAGGCGACGACGGGUAGGGGACCUGAGAGGGUGACCCCCCACACUGGAACUGAAACACGGACCAGACACCUACGGGUGGCAGCAGUAGGGAAUAUUGCACAAUAGGCGAAAGCCUGAUGCAGCAACGCCGCGUGCGCGAUGAAGGCCUUAGGGUUGUAAAGCGCUUUUCUGGGGGAAGAGAAAGGACGGUACCCCAGGAAUAAGUCUCGGCUAACUACGUGCCAGCAGCCGCGGUAAAACGUAGGAGGCGAGCGUUAUCCGGAUUUACUGGGCGUAAAGCGCGUGCAGGCGGUUUGGUAAGUCGGACGUGAAAGCUCCCGGCUCAACUGGGAGAGGCCGUUCGAAACUACCAAGACUAGAGGGCAGCAGAGGGAGGCGGAAUUCCAGGUGUAGCGGUGAAAUGCGUAGAUAUCUGGAGGAACACCAGUGGCGAAGGCGGCCUCCUGGACUGUCCCUGACGCUAAGACGCGAAAGCUAGGGGAGCGAACGGGAUUAGAAACCCCGGUAGUCCUAGCCGUAAACGAUGCACACUUGGUGUUGGUGGCAUAAAAACCAUCAGUGCCGCAGCUAACGCGAU
rnacentral:rRNA from 1 species